rnacentral:rRNA from 1 species
AGCGAACGCUGGCGGCAGGCCUAACACAUGCAAGUCGAACGGACCCUUCGGGGUUAGUGGCGGACGGGUGAGUAACACGUGGGAACGUGCCUUUAGGUUCGGAAUAGCUCCUGGAAACGGGUGGUAAUGCCGAAUGUGCCCUUCGGGGGAAGAUUUAUCGCCUUUAGAGCGGCCCGCGUCUGAUUAGCUUGUUGGUGGGGUAAUGGCCCACCAAGGCUACGAUCAGUAGCUGGUCUGAGAGGAUGACCAGCCACAUUGGGACUGAGACACGGCCCAAACUCCUACGGGAGGCAGCAGUGGGGAAUCUUGCGCAAUGGGCGAAAGCCUGACGCAGCCAUGCCGCGUGUAUGAUGAAGGUCUUAGGAUUGUAAAAUACUUUCACCGGUGAAGAUAAUGACUGUAGCCGGAGAAGAAGCCCCGGCUAACUUCGUGCCAGCAGCCGCGGUAAUACGAAGGGGGCUAGCGUUGCUCGGAAUUACUGGGCGUAAAGGGAGCGUAGGCGGACAUUAAGUC